rnacentral:lncRNA from 1 species
GACGGUGUGUGAGGUGCGGUAGCUAGCGAGCUAUUGAGGUCCCGACCUAUCAGUUGUUGGUUAUUUUAUCUUGACCCUUCUCUUUUUAGUGGUUAAUAAACUAGAUUAUAUGUGGUUCAGUUAUUCAGCUAUUUAGUGGUUUUGAAUAUUGUGAAUGAUUGUUGACUCUCAAUAACUCAGGAUGAAAAUUCUGAUUUUAUCGCUCAUGGUUUUCCACCCUUCGUGGUAGCUGGCUUUCCAAAAGUGAGUUUCCUUGUGGAAAAUAGUUUUUAAAGGAUUUUUGGAUUUAUCGAUAUCUAGUGUUUUUAAAUAGAGUUUUCAGGUGUGAAACACUUUUAAAAGAAUAGAAUUGAUUGUUGUAUGUGCAUUAGCAUCAUCCUUCGCCUAUGGAGUGUUUAGAACAUGCAUCAUCGUAAGGAUGGUUAGCUGAAUGGUUGUCUGACAUCCGCAUUGUGUAUGCCGUUUGUGUGAGUGGAUGAGUGUGUUGUUGGAUAUGUUAUAUUGGUACGCCGUGCAGAUACAAGAAAGACUCUAUUAGUGUGGAGACAGAGAGAUUUCUAUAUUUGUGGCGGGUCUGUUACAUCUUGGGGACAAGUUGUAAUUUCAAAAAAUAUAUAUAUAGUGCUUUUUUGCUGGCUUCAUUUCAAACUGGCCCUUUCAUUCAAAAAAGGCUUUACGAAAAAGGACCUCGGGGCAUGACAGAUUAAGAUGGUAUUAGAACGAAAGUAUGCAACCACACAACCACUCAUUAAUGUUUAACUGAAUCACUGGUUAGGCUGACCCAUAGAAAGGCUUAAGACUUAUAGGCACGUGAGAGCGCGGGGUUGUUGGGAUCAAGUCCCGGUGUCUCGGUAGAGAUUCAAUAACCUCGAGGUAUAUGGUUAUUUGCUUACCUCGUAUUUUGUGCUACAGGUGUUUGAUUAUUUCUCUUUGUGUAUGCUUUAUGGUGUGGGCGCAGACUCAUGCUUCUACCGGAAGUGGUGGUGGUGUACUAGACAGACAUCAAGUGGCAGAGUGAGAUUCCCCAUGCUUAGCCACUUGUUGGCAGGUGGUGGCCUUAACGGGCUAGGUGACAUCACUUGGUGGGUCUGCAUAGUUGUUUCAACUGCCAUUGGCUAGGUCCCACUUUCUAUGUAGGGCACGAGAGCUACUGCGAGCGUCUCUACGAAG